UUUCUCGCGCUGAAAUGGUGUCACAGUUCCCAAGCAGCAGAAGAUCGAGGAAGACCUUUCACCAAACUUGAGGAAAGGAAACCUUUUGUGGCAGUCACGUAGAGAGCGAGAGGAGAGAGAGCGAGAGGCAGGGAGCGCGACCGGGAGGGCGAGUGUCUGACUGUGUCCCACAAGACAUCAAAUUAGGCGGGAUUUUCAGAUCACUUUUUUUUAAAUGGGUGAUACUUGAACAACAAAAACAAAGCUGCCGGCCUUUCCGGAAUGUUACAGAAGACCGAGAAGUCGUGAAUAUGCAACAGCCUCAUUCAUUCACAAAGUCUUCGCUUCUCAGCUGGUAGUGUAAUGGGAGCCCCCAAGUCUUCAAAGCACGCUGGUGACCUGGAACAAGUUAUACUUAAUGGAAGAAACAAAGAAAGACGCCACAGUUUAUAGCUUUUUCGCAUUUACCAUUAUUCUACAAAUUCAUAUGUAAACAGAAUACACGAUAGGUCGCAAAUCUACAGAUAAUUUCGAGGGAGUGUGGUCUGGAAGACAUUGGGCACUUUGUUUUUUUUUUAAGUUUCAAGUACGCUUGUUUUUAUUUGGAAGAAUGCUACUUUAAAACGAUUUAUUAGAUCUGAUGGCUAAACAACCCGAGGGAUGAACAAAAGAAACCAGCCAUACAUACAUCGAUUUACACAAAGCACAAUGGGACAUUCUAGAAACAUAAACCAAGAAUGAGGGAGGGAGGGGGACCCGGGAACGUGUAAAAGAAAAUUGUCGCUCAGAUAGAAUUUGUAACUCUGAACUUUUUGUUUGCACUGUCAACCACCUUGUUUGUUCGUAAACAAACCCAUGUUGAACACUCUCUCGCUUUGCGAAACACUUGAUUCAGUUUGCUGUAAUGCCUCCUUCAUUGUUAUGCAGACCGUUUAAUUUAAACACAGGAACGUUUCAUUUAAGAGCAAAUUCGUUUCAUUAAAGUUUCCCCCUAUCGCCUUUCAUGCGCCCUGUUCGAUUCAGAUUAUCCUUUCAUAGUAUGUGUCCUUUUUUAAAAAAAAAGAAUGUAAUUUCGCCGUGGGUUGGUGCGAAAUUGACAGCAAUGCGGAACAAAGUAAUUUUAAUAUGCUAACUUUACCAUGCCAUUUUAUCAUUGAUGAGCGUUUUAUAUACUUGCAUAUUUCUGAAUUGAAUUAGAACGCAUAAUCGCAAUCAGAAGCAAAUACUGCCACUUUGCAGAAUCAAAUGUAUGUUAAAACCAUCAAGGACCAUAAUACGCCAUUGCUUCAAUGCGCUUCGGCUUCCUUUGCAGAAAAUGGCUCCACGUGAUGCUGGUUUACACCGAAGAUAGUAAGAUUCAGGAAGAUUCCCCAUACGAACUGGCAGUAUUUUCCCCUGCUGAUAUGGGGUUUAAAUUCACCAUAACCGCAACGUUCCAAAUGAUCGCGUUCCAGAAAAUCCCACUUGCAAGAUGAUUUAAAUGGCCAUUAAUUUACAGGUGCACAGUGGAGAGCAUGCUGACCGGUUGCAUCGUGGCUUGGUUCAGCAACGAGUGCCCAGGAGCGAAAAAGACUACAAAAAGUAGUAAACACUGCCCAGUCCAUCAUCGGCUCUGACCUUCCUUCCAUCGAGGGGAUCCAUCGCAGUCGCUGCCUCAAAAAGGCUGGAAGCAUCAUCAAGGGCCCACACCAUCUUGGCCACGCACUCAUCUCCCCGCUACCUUCAGUUAGAAGGUACAGGAGCCUGAAGACUGCAAUGUCCAGGUUCAGAAACAGCUACUUCCCCACAGCCAUCAGACUAUUGAACUCAAAGAAAACUCUGAACAUUAAUAGCCCAUUAUCAGUUUAUUUGCACUUUAUCUGUUUUAUUUAUUCAUGUGUGUAUAUAUUUAUACAACGGUAUAUGGACACACUGAUCUGUUCUGUAUUCAUGCCUUCUAUAUUCCGUUGUGCUGAAGCAAAGUAAGAAUUUAAUUGUCCUAUCUGGGACACAUGACAAUAAACUCUCUUGAAUCUUGAAUCUAGCGUGAAUAGGUGAUGAGUGGACUCGAUGGACCAAAGAUCCUGUUUGCUGGAUAUUUCCACUCAAAACAAUUCAAUAUAGUCUGUAUGGACCCAAUGGAAAAGCCAUCUACUUAGCCCCACUCAUCUACUUAGCCUCAGAGGGCGGUGGAGGCAGGUUCUCUGGAUGCUUUCAAGAGAGAGCUAGAUAGGGCUCUUAAAGAUAGGGGAUAUGGGGAGAAGGCACGAACGGGGUACUGAUUGGGGAUGAUCAGCCAUAAUCACAUUGAAUGGCUCGAAGGGCCGAAUGGCCUACUCCUGCACCUAUUGUCUAUUGCCUAUUGUCAUUCACCCCAUCCCCUUAUCCAUGCAAUUCUAUCCUUUUGGAUAAUUAACCUGCUCCAUUUUAAUUUGUUUUUUAGUUUAGUUUAGAGAUACCGCGCGGAAACAGGCCCUUCGGCCGACCAGCGAUCCCCGCAUAUUAACACUAUCCUACACCCACUAGGGACAAUGUUUACAUUUACCAAGCCAAUUAACCUACAAACCUGUACGUGUUUGGAGUGCGGGAGGAAACUGAAGGUCUCGGAGAAACCCCACGCAGAUCACGGGGAGAACGUACAAACUCCGUACAGACAACACUCGUAGUCGGGAUUGAACCCGGGUCUCCGGCGCUACAUUCGCUGUAGUAAGGCAUCAACUGCACCGCUGCGCCACCGUGACCGCCUAUUUGAUGUCACUCUUAUAAAAUACUUGGUGUGCAGUCCAAUUUCGACCCACUCACUGUGUUACAAUCUUUUCCCUCAUAAAACCUUUGGUUCUUUCACCUUCAUUCUGUGAGCUCUGCUGCUGCAUCCCUCCAACAAUGGGAACAGUUUGCAAUUAUUUACUCUAUCUUUACUCUAUUUACUCUUCUCUCUGCCCUGAAGCCACUAUUUAGUUACUUCCUCCUGCAACCUCUGCAGUUUUGUAAAGGUGUGGCACCCAGUACUCCAGUUGCUGUGCCCAAAUCAUCGCUUUCUGAAGGUUCAUUAUGACUUCCUUUGUGUAAUACUUUAUCAUUCUAUUGAUAAAACCCAGCAUCGCAUCUACUUUUUCUUUAACUAACUUUCUCCACUUGCCCUGCCAAGUUCAACAUCUAAUCCCUGGUCUCUCUGCUGUGCCCUUUUCAAGUUGUGCCCUUUGGUUUAUGUUGCCUUCCUCACAUUAACUUUCAAACAAAUGUACUCAAUUUAAAUAUAAUCUGCGUCCUACCUCCACAGUCCACCAGUACAGCUAAAGGUUUCCUCCCACCAUCCCCAUGGUUCACUGAAGUUCCGUGUUCUGUGUCAUCUGAAGAUUUAGAAACUUUUUUUAGUCAAUUUCCUAUCUAUUCAGUUACAGCUCCUUUUCUUCUACAUCCUUCGAUCUUGAUAACACACACCACCUCAUCAAUAGUUUAUGGAAGCCCAUGUCAACUGCAAUUCCAUCAACACCCGCCUCUGUUACCUCAUGAUCAAAAUCAAGUUAGUUUGGCACCAUUUGCUUUUAACAUAUCCAUGCUGGCUUUCUCUAAUCAAUCCACUUUUGUCCAAAUCACUGCUAAUUCAGUCGUUGAUUAUUGUUUCAAGAGCAUUCCCUGCCCCUGAGGUUAAACUGACUGCUCUGUAGUUAGUGGGUUUAUCAUUAUGCCUUUAUUAACAAAUGCGUAACAUUUGCAAUUUUCCAGUUGUCGACCACCACCUGAAUCAAUAGAUGUUUGAAAGAUUAUGACUAGGGCCUCUGAUCUUUCAAUCCUUGCUUCAUAAAAUUGUAGAGUCAUACAGCAUUGAAACAGUCCCUUCAGCCCACCAUGAGCAUGCUGACCAUCAAAGACCUAUCUAUAUUGGAAGGAAGCAAUGAAUGCCAGAUCUUGUCUAAAACACAAAGUGCUGGAGUAACACAGCAGGUCAGGCAACAACUGUGGAAGGAAUGGCUAAGUGACGUUUUUUAGUCGGGACUGAAUUCUUCGGACUGAUUAUGGUAGGGGAAAGAAAGCUGGAAAAUAUAUUAUCUUUUUAAUUCCAGUUACCGACACUUGAUCGGAGAUAGACACAAAAAGCUUAAGUAACUCAGCUGGAGAAAAGGAACAGGUGAUGUUUCUGGUCGAGACCCCUCUUCAGACUGACACUUGGUCUAUAGCCUACUAUGUCUUUGCCAUUUGCUUGUUCAAAUGCUUCAUAAAUGUAGUGAGAGUACUCACCUCCACCAUCUUCCCCUAUAUGAGACGUGGGAUGACAGAUGGUGCAAUGGGCUAAGUGUUCGGCUGGCGACCGGAAGGUAGCCGGUUCGAAUCCCGCUUGGAGUGCAUACUGUUGUUGUGUCCUUGGGGCAAGACACUUCACCCACCUUUGCCUGUGUGCAAAUGUAAUGUAAUUAUGUGAAGCACUUUGGGGUCAAUGCAAGUUGACUAAAAAUGUGCUAUAUAAAUAAGAUUAUUAUAUUGUUAUUAUGAACCAUUUUGCAUCCCAUUUGGAUUAGGUGAUUUAGCUUUUGUAGUAUUCAAGAAGAAACUGCAGAUGGUGGAAAAUCGAAGGUAACCAAAAUUGCUGGAGAAACUCAGCGGGUGCAGCAGCAUCUAUGGAGCGAAGGAAAUAGGCGACGUUUCGGGCCGAAACCCUGAAGGGGUUCCAUUGACACCUUCCAUUGUGGAACUCUUUCUCCCUGGUGAAGAUGGAUGUAAAGUCCUCACUUAGUUCCUCAGCCAUGGCUUCUACAUUUCCUUCUUGGUUUCUGAUCCCGCCCAUCUCUCCCCAAACACGGCAAGCAAAUCUUAUUGAAUCCCCUUUUGUAUUUACUGCAAGUCUUUUUCUCAUGUUCUUACGUUGCCUCACGUAAUAGGGUUGAAACAAAAACGAGGGAAAUAGAAUUUUCCUCUCAGUAGAAAAUGGCCAAAAAAACAUUAAAAUGCUGAGAAGUCCCUGAAGAUACAUAGAACAGGAAACUGAAAACUCCCAAAGGUAAGUGAUACCAUAGAGAGUAUCCUGACCACCUGCUUCACGGUAUGGUACAGCAGCUGCACUGCUGCGGACAGGAAGGCACUACAACGGGUGGUGAAAACCGCGCAGCACAUCAUCGGUGCCCCGCUCCCUGCCAUGGAUGCCCUCCACCGAAAACGGUGUCUGAGACGGGCUGGGAAGAUCAUCAAAGACCCCUCACACCCCAACCAUGGACUGUUUGCCCUCCUCCCAUCAGGGAGGCGGUACAGGAGCCUCAGGGCACGUACUAGUAGGAUGAGGAACAGCUUCUACAACAACACAAUCACACUGCUGAACUCGGAGUCCCGAUGAUAGAUUUCUCUGGUCCCUCCGUCCCCCUUUGUUUAAUUAUUCUGUAUUUCCUGAUUAUUCUGUAUCUUCCCUCUUUCUAUUUUUUUUUUUUUUUUUUUGGUUUUCUUUAUGUACAACUACUACGGACUGACGCAAAACUGCAUUUCGUUGUACUGAUACUUGUAUUUGUGCGAAUACAUUAAAGUUGAAUUGAAUUGAAUUGAAUUGAAUAUGUCUAACCCGCUGAGUUACUCCAGCUUUUUGUGCCAAUCUUCGGUUUAAACCAGCAUCGACAGCCCCUUCCUACACGUUUUGCCUGCCAUUCAAUUUAAUUUCACUGUGUCCUUUCCAUCAAUUGUGUUGAUCCAUGGGUCUCACUUCCCUCCUUCAUGACCAGCUGAGCGUUUUCACAAUUUUCUUUUUACUUUUCAGAUUUCCCGCAUCUGCUGUGUUGUGCUCUUGGUAUCGCGUUAUGCUUGUGCUGCACCUAUCGCUCAUGUUUUGAUACUUUCAUUGAGUACAGAGUAGAACAACUGGGACAGGUGCCAGACAUUAAAGUAGCCUGUCGGUAGUAGCCUGAUUAGCCAACAAUAGACCAUUCUCCAUUUUUAAACUAUUAACGCUAUAAAAAGCUUUUUUUAAAUUGCUUGAUUGUUAUAGUCAUGAUGAAUAAGCCAAUAACUGGUAAAUAAAUGAUAGAUUUGAAGUUGUAAUUUAACUGUUGAAGUAAUGGGAAUUCUAUCUAGAUAUGAAUACUUAAGUUUGUAUUCAUCUUUGCACCAAAUUCUGGGGGCGGCACUGCGUGGGUUUUCUCCGAGAUCUUCGGUUUCCUCCCACACUUCAAGAAAACCAUUUUUUACACAGAGAGUGGUGAAUCUGUGGAAUUCUCUGCCACAGAAGAUAGUUGAGGCCAGUUCAUUGGCUAUAUUUAAGAGGGAGUUAGAUGUGGCCCUUGUGGCUAAAGGGAUCAGGGGGUAUGGAGAGAAGGGAGGGACAGGAUACUGAGUUGGAUGAUCAGCCAUGAUCAUAUUGAAUGGCGGUGCAGGCUCGAAGGGCCGAAUGGCCUACUCCUGCACCUAUUUUCUAUGUGUCUAUGUUUCUAUGUACAGAUGUAGGUUAAUUGGUGAGUAUAAGUGUAAAUUGUAAAUUGUCCCAAGUAUUAAUAUGGGGGGAUCACUGGUCGGUGCGGACUUGGUGAGCCAAAGGGCCUGUUUCUGCACUGUAUCUCUAAACUGAACUAAACUAAACUAAAUAUCAUAAAACCUCAAUGGACAGCUAUGAUUCAACUGAUAAUUGACAGGAAUAUGCCAGUCAGAGAUUUUAAGGUUUCAGUAAAAUACCUCACUUUGUUGUCUAUUGUGAAGUAUAUACAGUAAUAGAUGAGACAAGUCGUCUUCUUUGGCAUAUCUUGAAAAUGCUCCAGUGGAUACAGAUGAGUGAUGGUCAUUGUAGAAACAAGAUGAGUCUACAAGCAAAAGCAAACCAUUUGUAUUCGUAACAGUGCCUGUAUACGUUACUGAAUAACUCAUUAUUGUAAUGUGGAAGAGUGCUCUUCAAUCUGUUACACGAUCAGCAUUUCUUCUCUUCAUAUCGCAAAAUGAAUCUUGUUCACAAGUCCCUUUCUAGAAUGAUCCGAGGCUGAUCUGAAUGCCAGGAAUUUACAACUUCCAUAAGUAAAGUCAAAAGCACAAUCCCGAGGCUCAGAUAACAGAGAUAAACCGUCGAAGCCUUAAUCAAGUGUUCUUUAAAUUUACUUCACACAACCAAGUCUGAAAAAGGCCUCGACCCGAAACAUCACCUAUUCUUUGUCUCCAGAGAUGCUGCCUGUCCCGCUGAUUUACUCCAGCCUUUUGCAUCCGUCUUUGGUUUAAACCAGCAUCUGUACUUCCUCCCUACACCAAAAUGUUGCCUGCUUUGUAAUUCCCAAUGACCUGUGCAUUGUCUUCUAUUUAAACCUAAACUGGGGCAUUGAAUGGUAACAAUUAAACCUAAGCAUGGGAGCUAAUCUAUAUUGGAAAUUAUACUGAGGCUCCCAUUCUCUCUCAGGUGGAUGUAAAAUAUCACAUGGGAUAUGUUUGAAGAAGAACAGGGAUGUUCUUCCCGGUGUCGUGGCCAAUAUUUGCCUCUCCGUCGUUAUUACCAUCACGGAUUAUUUCACCAUUAACACAUUUGUGUUUAUGGGAACUAGUUCUCAGUUUGGAUGCCUCAUUUCUUCCAUCAAUAACCACUCUCAUAAGGGUCUUCAACUCAAAAUGUGAACUCUGGACUGGAGGAGGGGUUUCAGCAUUUGCUGUUUUUUAAUUCUUCAAGGUUAUUGUUUAGUUACUGACUGCUUUAACACUUUCUGAAAAGGAAGUGAAUUGCACUACAUAAAUGCAAAUUAUUCAUUUUUUAGCAUCGCAACUCAAUCCUGUAAUCUACUGGGUAUUUCCUAUAAGCUCUGCAUUUUGCGGCUUUGUAUAUUUUGUCUUUAAAAUCUCUGUCGACAAA